UACGUAGGUGGCAAGCGAUACUCGGAAUCACUAGGCGUAAAGCGCAGGUAGGCGGUCUGAUAAGUUUCUUGUUAAAGCCCCCGGCUCAACUGGGGAGGGUCACGCGAUACUGCUCAACUCGAAGGCAGGAGAGGGAAGUGGAAUUCCCGGUGUAGUGGUGAAAUGCGUAGAUAUCGGGAGGAACACCAGUGGCGAAGGCGACUUCCUGGCCUGUUCUUGACGCUGAGGCGCGAAAGCUAGGGUAGCAAACGGG
rnacentral:rRNA from 1 species